rnacentral:rRNA from 1 species
CGUACACUCCUGCGGGAGGCAGCAGUGGGGAAUAUUACACAAUGGGCGCAAGCCUGAUGCAGCCAUGCCGCGUGUAUGAAGAAGGCCUUCGGGUUGUAAAGUACUUUCAGCGGGGAGGAAGGCGAUAAGGUUAAUAACCUUGUCGAUUGACGUUACCCGCAGAAGAAGCACCGGCUAACUCCGUGCCAGCAGCCGCGGUAAUACGGAGGGUGCAAGCGUUAAUCGGAAUUACUGGGCGUAAAGCGCACGCAGGCGGUCUGUCAAGUCGGAUGUGAAAUCCCCGGGCUCAACCUGGGAACUGCAUUCGAAACUGGCAGGCUAGAGUCUUGUAGAGGGGGGUAGAAUUCCAGGUGUAGCGGUGAAAUGCGUAGAGAUCUGGAGGAAUACCGGUGGCGAAGGCGGCCCCCUGGACAAAGACUGACGCUCAGGUGCGAAAGCGUGGGGAGCAAACAGGAUUAGAAACCCGAGUAGUCCC